ACAACUAGGAUGUUGGCUUAGAAGCAGCCAUCAUUUAAAGAGUGCGUAAUAGCUCACUAGUCGAGUGACACUGCGCCGAAAAUGUACCGGGGCUAAACAUAUUACCGAAGCUGUGGAUUGUCCUUUGGACAAUGGUAGGAGAGCGUUCUAAGGGCGUUGAAGCAUGAUCGCAAGGACAUGUGGAGCGCUUAGAAGUGAGAAUGCCGGUGUGAGUAGCGAAAGACGGGUGAGAAUCCCGUCCACCGAUUGACUAAGGUUUCCAGAGGAAGGCUCGUCCGCUCUGGGUUAGUCGGGUCCUAAGCUGAGGCCGACAGGCGUAGGCGAUGGAUAACAGG
rnacentral:rRNA from 1 species